rnacentral:rRNA from 1 species
AUGUGCCAUAUAGUGAGACAUUUGGUUACCCUAAGAUCGGAGAACAAAAAUACAAAUACACGGAAGCUGCGUGAGGAAGAGAGAGUAUUUAUGGAGUUUGCGGGCCUGCUUGUUGAUAUUGUUUCCCAAGCUGGUGAAGCCCUUUCUGCAUACAUUCAGGCACAUUCAGAGGUGCCCCACGUGGAGGUUCUGGAGCGGGUUUCUUCUAUCCUCAAGGAGUAUGGGUUUUGCCCAACUGGAGAAAUCGUUGAUGUUAAGAACCUCUGCCCUUACAACUGCAUAAUGUCGGAUGAAGAAUUAUACCACAAAGGGCUUAUGAAUUCAACCAAGGGAGUUACAGGAACGGAUAAUCCGUGUGCUACAAAGAAAUACAUGUACUGGAGCAUUCUAUCUUCACUUCUUGUUCUUUUGGCAAGUGCCUUGUGA